rnacentral:misc_RNA from 1 species
GAACUGCGAUAAGUAAUGUGAAUUGCAGAAUUCAGUGAAUCAUCGAGUCUUUGAACGCACAUUGCGCCCCCUGGCAUUCCGGGGGGCAUGCCUGUCCGAGCGUCAUUGCUGCCCUUCAAGCCCGGCUUGUGUGUUGGGUCGUCGUCCCCUCCGGGGGACGGGCCCGAAAGGCAGCGGCGGCACCGCGUCCGGUCCUCGAGCGUAUGGGGCUUUGUCACCCGCUCGAUAAGGACCGGCCGGGCGCCAGCCGGCGUCUCCAACCUUUUUUUCUCAGGUUGACCUCGGAUCACGUAGGGAUACCCGCUGAACUUAAGC